UUUUUAGAGUUUUGAUCUGGCUCAGGACGAACGCUGGCGGCGUGCUUAACACAUGCAAGUCGAACGAUGAACCGCUUUCGGGCGGGGAUUAGUGGCGAACGGGUGAGUAACACGUGGGCAAUCUGCCCUGCACUCUGGGACAAGCCCUGGAAACGGGGUCUAAUACCGGAUAUGACCGUCUGCCGCAUGGUGGAUGGUGUAAAGCUCCGGCGGUGCAGGAUGAGCCCGCGGCCUAUCAGCUUGUUGGUGAGGUAGUGGCUCACCAAGGCGACGACGGGUAGCCGGCCUGAGAGGGCGACCGGCCACACUGGGACUGAGACACGGCCCAGACUCCUACGGGAGGCAGCAGUGGGGAAUAUUGCACAAUGGGCGAAAGCCUGAUGCAGCGACGCCGCGUGAGGGAUGACGGCCUUCGGGUUGUAAACCUCUUUCAGCAGGGAAGAAGCGAAAGUGACGGUACCUGCAGAAGAAGCGCCGGCUAACUACGUGCCAGCAGCCGCGGUAAUACGUAGGGCGCAAGCGUUGUCCGGAAUUAUUGGGCGUAAAGAGCUCGUAGGCGGCUUGUCACGUCGGUUGUGAAAGCCCGGGGCUUAACCCCGGGUCUGCAGUCGAUACGGGCAGGCUAGAGUUCGUAGGGAAU
rnacentral:rRNA from 1 species